GGGUUUGUGGUUCAGUGGUAGAAUUCUUCGUUGUGGUGUUCUUCUUACACUUGCAUAUCCGAAGCGGCCCGUGUUCGAUUCACGGCAGGCCCA